ensembl:lncRNA
CAUCUGAUUACAUGAUGCCCACCCACAUAGGUGAGGGUGAUCUUCCUUACUCAGUUUACCAAUUCAAAUAUUAAUCUCUUCCAGAAAGGCCCUCACAGACACACCCAGAAGUAAAGAAUAAUAUAUAAAUAGCUUCCUGGGGAUCCUUCAGAGGGGUACCUGUCCUCACAGAGACUGGAGGGCAGUCCCAAGCAUCUCACUCCCAGGUUGGAUACAGAAUGUCUUCCUGUUUGUGUAUCCUCUACUAUCAAUGCAAAGUACCUCUCAUCCAAUUUUCCACAGUCAACCCAAUGCGAAUACAAUCGACCCUCUGCGUCCUACUGUUCUGCAUCCCUGGAUUCAACCAACCAUCCAUUGAAGAUAUUUGGAAACAAAAACUGCACUUCUAGAGCAGCAAGAGACAUAGCACUCCUCCCCUGCAGAGACCACAGAAUCAUGGCGUCAUCUUGGAAGCAAAGAACAGCCCUCACCAG